AACGCACCUUGCGCCCCUUGGUAUUCCGAGGGGCAUGCCUGUUUGAGUGUCAUGUUAAUCUCAAACCACGAGUCUUUCUUAAUGGAGGGACUCGUCCGGUUUGGACUUGGAGGAUUACUGCUGGCUCCCUUUGUAGUCGGCUCCUCUGAAAUGCAUUAGCUGGACUUUGGUUCGCAUUUACGGUGUAAUAGUAAUAAACUUGUCCGCCGGGGUGCUUGCCUAAGGAGUCUGCUUCUAAUCGCCCGUUAUUUAAAGGGCAAGGUCCUCGGUUGACCUUCUUGAACACUUUGACCUCAAAUCAGGUAGGACUACCCGCUGAACUUAA
rnacentral:misc_RNA from 1 species